rnacentral:rRNA from 1 species
AACGAACGCUGGCGGCGUGCUUAACACAUGCAAGUCAAGGAGAAGGUUCCUUCGGGAAUCAUUAAACUGGCGCACGGGUGAGUAACGCGUGAGGAACCUGCCUCAGAGAUUGGGACAACAACCCGAAAGGGUUGCUAAUACUAAAUAAGCUCACAAUUCGCAUGUUUUGUGAGAAAAGGACGGGGUAACCUGUCGCUUUGAGAUGGACUCGCGUGUCAUUAGCUAGUUGGUGAGGUAACGGCUCACCAAGGCUACGAUGACUAGCCGGCCUGAGAGGGUGGCCGGCCACAUAGGGACUGAGACACGGCCCUAACUCCUACGGGAGGCAGCAGUGGGGAAUUUUGCGCAAUGAUCGAAAGAUUGACGCAGCGACGCCGCGUGGACGAUGAAGGUUUUCGGAUCGUAAAGUCCUUUCAGCAAGGAAGAAUGGAUAUGUAAGUAACUGUGCAUAUAUUGACGGUACUUGCAGAAGCAGCCCCGGCUAACUCCGUG